rnacentral:rRNA from 1 species
CCUACGGGUGGCAGCAGUCGAGAAUCAUUCACAAUGGGGGAAACCCUGAUGGUGCGACGCCGUGUGGGGGAAUGAAGGUCUUCGGAUUGUAAACCCCUGUCAUGUGGGAGCAAAUUAAAAAGAUAGUACCACAAGAGGAAGAGACGGCUAACUCUGUGCCAGCAGCCGCGGUAAUACAGAGGUCUCAAGCGUUGUUCGGAAUCACUGGGCGUAAGGCGUGCGUAGGCUGUUUCGUAAGUCGUGUGUGAAAGGCGCGGGCUCAACCCGCGGACGGCACAUGAUACUGCGAGACUAGAGUAAUGGAGGGGGAACCGGAAUUCUCGGUGUAGCAGUGAAAUGCGUAGAUAUCGAGAGGAACACUCGUGGCGAAGGCGGGUUCCUGGACAUUAACUGACGCUGAGGCACGAAGGCCAGGGGAGCGAAAGGGAUUAGAUACCCGGGUAGUC